AUUGAACGCUGGCGGCAGGCCUAACACAUGCAAGUCGAGCGCGCGGCGGACGGGUGAGUAAUGUCUGGGAAACUGCCUGAUGGAGGGGGGUAACUACUGGAAACGGUAGCUAAUACCGCAUACCAUCAGAUGUGCCCAGCGGGGAUUAUCUAGUAGGUGGGGUAACGGCUCACCUAGGCGACGAUCCCUAGCUGGUCGGAGAGGAUGACCAGCCACACUGGAAGUGAGACACGGUCCAGACUCCUAUGGGAGGCAGCAGUGGGGAAUAUUGCACAAUGGGCGCAAGCCUGAUGCAGCCAUGCCGCGUGUGUGAAGAAGGCCUUCGGGUUGUAAAGUACUUUCAGCGGGGAGGCGUUACCCGCAGAAGAAGCACCGGCUAACUCCGUGCCAGCAGCCGCGGUAAUUC
rnacentral:rRNA from 1 species